CAGUAGCCGCGGUAAUACGUAGGGGGCGAGCGUUGUCCGAAGUUACUGGGCGUAAAGCGCGCUUAGGCGGCUUCUUAAGUCUGAGGUGAAAGGUUCAACGCUUAACGUGAACAGUGCCUUGGAUACUGGGGAGCUUGAGUAUGGGAGAGGGCAGUGGAAUGGCUGGUGUAGCGGUGGAAUGCGUAGAUAUCAGUCGGAACACCCAUGGCGAAGGCAGCUGCCUGGCCUAAUACUGACGCUGAGGUGCGAAAGCGUGGGGAGCGAACGGGAUUAGAUACCCCAGUAGUCCCUGUCUCUUAUA
rnacentral:rRNA from 1 species